rnacentral:rRNA from 1 species
UGGGGAAUCUUGCGCAAUGGGCGAAAGCCUGACGCAGCCAUGCCGCGUGAAUGAUGAAGGUCUUAGGAUUGUAAAAUUCUUUCACCGGGGACGAUAAUGACGGUACCCGGAGAAGAAGCCCCGGCUAACUUCGUGCCAGCAGCCGCGGUAAUACGAAGGGGGCUAGCGUUGCUCGGAAUUACUGGGCGUAAAGGGAGCGUAGGCGGACAUUUAAGUCAGGGGUGAAAUCCCGGGGCUCAACCUCGGAAUUGCCUUUGAUACUGGGUGUCUUGAGUAUGGGAGAGGGGGGGGAAACUCCGGGUGUAGAGGUGAAAUUCGUGGAUAUUCGGAAGAACACCAGUGGCGAAGGCGACACACUGGCUCAUUACUGACGCUGAGGCUCGAAGGCGUGGGAGCAAACAGG